rnacentral:tRNA from 1 species
GCCGAAAUGGUGGAAUAGGUAGACACGUAGGACUUAAAAUCCUAUGACCGUAAGAGGUCGUGCGGGUUCGAUUCCCGCUUUCGGUA